GACGAGUGACUAAACCAAGUUCAUGCGGCCAGCCCGACAUUGACCACCUGCCCCUGUGGCCCUAAUAGCCAAACAAUCACAAAAAAAAGGCUUACAUGUGCCGGUAUGGUGCAAUUCAGCCUCAGGUUUAAAUCUGAGGAUGGUCUUCUCAGUUCCCCAUGACUCUCCUUGCUUGCUUCGAAGUUUAGACGACGAAUUUCACACCUACAUACCGGUUAGUGCGAAAUAGGAAAAAGAUUGGAAAAGUAGAUGAAAAUGAUGCAAAGGAUGAAAAGGACAGAAGUUACCUUAUGUCACUUUGGAUUUUAUCAUCACACGGUGCUCUUCGACUAGAUUUCCCUUCAUUUCCCUUUCCUUCGGCUUCAGCUUCCAUGACGCUCCCACCUCUGCUAGUUUCUCUUCUUUUCUUUCCUUGCGGCGGUCGUUCUCUGCUCUUCCCCUCAUUCUCCUACUCGGCUACGCACUUUCUUUCUCUCAUUUCCUCUUCUCCGACCUUUUCUCUCACCCGAGCGACUCUCUCCUUCUUUCUCUCAUUUUCGUCUUCUCCUUUCAAAUGAAGAAAAAACCUUAAAUUUUUCCUUACAUACCCGUCUCCCUAGGUCAUUGGAUCUUGCAAGGAUCGAUCUAGGUCAUUUAACCUGAAUAAAAUCCCAUCUAUUGGAUCCUUCAAAUAGUUCGAUCAGGACCGUCCAUCUCCUGAUUUUUUUUUGCCCCAUUCCACUUCCAUUUAUUUAUACUUUUACCUCCCUUUUUCUUACUUGUUUUUAUUUAAGACUUUAAAU
rnacentral:lncRNA from 1 species